UAUUGGGGAAAAGGAAACAUUUUUUAGGUUUGUCAAAAUAAUUUAUUACACACACACACUCACUCUAAAAAUUGGAUAAGGGCGAUUUGGUAAUUUAAGUCAUUGUCCUGGCCAUGUCAAGCAGAACCAUUCCAAGAUCCUCCGUGUAGCAAAACAGUAGCCAUUGAUCACCUGUCUGCACACACACUCUCUACCAUGCCCAGAAGAAUCCUCCAAGACUACAAUGACCACAUCCUCCACCUCUCUAUCACCUCUAAAAUGGCCCAGCUGGACCAAAAUUCCUACACAAAAACAAAAUAUAUUUUUAAGGUAAAAAAUGGAAGCAAAGAAUUGUCAUCCAAUCACACCUCUCGAAUUCUGUCUCCAAAACAUCCAAAAUGAAAAAAAGAUUGUAUCUUUUUCCAUAAAUGCCCUUUCUUGAACCCCAUUUUCAUAGCUCAUGUUUAAGAGUUUCUUCUUUCCUACAUGGGCUUUUUUGGUUUCUCAAGUAUAGGAGUUUCCCAGAAGCAGAACACAAUUUACAUGACUGGCUGGCUUUGUCCUUGUUGGAGUGAUUUUCUUUGUUCUUUUUAUAUUGUUUUUGCUUCUCUCUCUCUAAAUCUUUGCCCUUUAUAUGUUUCUCUAUGUAGGAUGCGAAAACGGCUGUUUUCUUGUUUAAGUUGAAUUGGGGUUUUGUUUUCUUUGCUUAAUCACCAAGUUUUAGUGAUUUUUUUUAGCGGUUUUCAUCAAGUUUGUGUCUUUAUAUUUUUUUUUCUUUAUAAAAAGAGAAUUUUAAAAAAUAAUAUCCUUAUUUCAACCGGAUUUAUUUCUUGUUAUGCUUUAUUAAAGAGUUUUUAUUGAAUUUUGGGUUAAGAAAUCUAAAGGGUUUCAUUAAUUCUCACCAAAUUUUGCUUUUCUAUACCUUCUUGUCAAUUUUUUUUGGCUUAACUGCAAGAAUUAUAGUGGAGAUACACAAUGUCGAAGAAUAAUAAGAAAAGGGUUGCUGUGAAAUCUCAUCAAUCUCAAUUUGUUGACGAGGGAGCAAUAAAUAGAGUGAAAUAUCAAAACCUACUGGAGGAUUUCUUGGAAUUGCAAAAGGAUUUUGUUUCAAAGAAGAGAAAAUUGCGAACAGUAGAGCAGAAAAGAGAGAUUCUUUCGGCUGAAGUUAGAUUUUUAAGACAGCGGCACAAAUUUUUUAUGAAGAUGCAAUCAGGUAACCUGGUGCAAAGUCUUGUUCCAGAGAAAGAUCCAUGCAUGGAAGAUCUUGUUCCUAAGAUAUCUUCACCUGUAGAAGAUCUAGUUCCUGGGAAAUAUUCAUCUAUGCCAUAUCAAGGGAAGUUUGUUGGGAAGCCAUUGAGUGAAUAACACCUAAGAACGGCUUAAUCAAAGGCAAAAGCGUAGGGAAGAAGAGAAUUUUAUUGCAAGAUCAGUUUCACAAUAUUUGUGCCUGUGGUGGUUCUUUCCUUCCUACAAGCCUUGAAUAUGGACUCAGUAGAUGAUAAUUUCUUCCCUCUCUAAAUUAUGAGUCCCAUAAGGUUGUGUUUCAAUAACAUCCCAGAAUAAUGUUUUUUCCCGUAGUUACUCCCUUUGUUGCACAUUUUAUUGGCAGAUAAUCGGUUGAGUAGUUUCACUGCCUCCUUCACAUUCUCACCUUGUGUUUCUCUUCCUCUGCCUCCACUGUCUUCUCUGACCACUGCCUGUGUUGCCAUGUCUUGGUUGCAUUAACCUAAUAGCACUUCUAGAUUUAGAAUUUCAUUAUAGACUCAUUCCUAGACACCACCAACAAUUAUUCACAUACACACACAUUCCUUGACACCAUCAACAAUUAUGAAACUCAAAAAAUGUAUGUAUCCGCCAACUUGUUUCUUUGCUA